UGCAGUCGAACGCUUUGUCUUUAACUGAUCUGACGAGCUUGCUCUGAUGUGAUUUUAUCUGACAAAGAGUGGCGAACGGGUGAGUAACACGUGGGUAACCUACCUCUUAGCAGGGGAUAACAUUUGGAAACAAGUGCUAAUACCGUAUAAUACCAACAACCGCAUGGUUGUUGGUUGAAAGAUGGUUCUGCUAUCACUAAGAGAUGGACCCGCGGUGCAUUAGCUAGUUGGUAAGGUAACGGCUUACCAAGGCAAUGAUGCAUAGCCGAGUUGAGAGACUGAUCGGCCACAAUGGGACUGAGACACGGCCCAUACUCCUACGGGAGGCAGCAGUAGGGAAUCUUCCACAAUGGGCGCAAGCCUGAUGGAGCAACGCCGCGUGUGUGAUGAAGGGUUUCGGCUCGUAAAACACUGUUAUAAGAGAAGAACGGCACUGAGAGUAACUGUUCAGUGUGUGACGGUAUCUUACCAGAAAGGAACGGCUAAAUACGUGCCAGCAGCCGCGGUAAUACGUAUGUUCCAAGCGUUAUCCGGAUUUAUUGGGCGUAAAGCGAGCGCAGACGGUUAUUUAAGUCUGAAGUGAAAGCCCUCAGCUCAACUGAGGAAUGGCUUUGGAAACUGGAUGACUUGAGUGCAGUAGAGGAAAGUGGAACUCCAUGUGUAGCGGUGAAAUGCGUAGAUAUAUGGAAGAACACCAGU
rnacentral:rRNA from 1 species